UCUUGCGCUGGUUGUGCUUGUGUUCAGAUCGAUCUCAGAUUCAGGGAUCGCGAGCAUAUCCUGUACGCGAAAGGAUAUAUCUCAGCAACUCAACAAUUUGUAUUGUCAUCCGCGCAGAUUGAAAAACAAUUUCAUUAGCCGUGAAAAUAAAGUGAAAAUAUGUUCAAGCUAUCAGCCAUAGCCCUGCUCCUUGUGAGCUGGAGUUGCCUAGCAGCUGUGUCACAGGCGAAGUCCUUUGGUUCUCCCGAUCUCGGCACAGAUGAUAACAAUGCCAUUGCCACCGAUGAGGAAACAGUGGAUCCCUUUGCAAGUUGUGAAAUCUAUUGCGAGGGCGAGCUACUGCACACCAUUCAAACUGCUCAACCCAAACUUUUCGCGGACUCCAAAACGUUCGUGGACAUGAAACUGAAUAAUUCGCCUGAUAAGACCCUCGCGGAUUUUAAGGCAAUGAUGGAGGCGAAAAACCAGACGCCCAGCAAUGAAGAUCUCAAAAACUUUGUGGAUGAAUACUUUAGCCCCAAGGGCACCGAGCUGGAGGAGUGGACGCCCACGGACUGGACGGAGAAUCCCAGUUUCCUGGAUCUGAUUUCGGAUCCGGACCUAAAGCAGUGGGGCGUGGAACUGAAUAACAUUUGGAAGAUCCUGGGCCGCAAAAUGAAGGACGACGUACUGAAAAAUCCUCAGUACUACUCAAUCAUACCCGUCCCCAAUCCCGUGAUCAUUCCCGGAGGUCGCUUCAUCGAGUUCUACUAUUGGGACUCCUACUGGAUCAUCAGGGGACUCCUUUACAGCCAAAUGUAUACCACCGCCCGCGGCAUGAUUGAGAACUUCCUGUCCAUUGUGAAUCGGUUUGGUUUCAUUCCGAACGGCGGACGAGUUUACUACCACGGUCGCUCCCAGCCACCACUUCUAACCGGAAUGGUCAAGUCAUACGUAGACUUCACCAACGAUGACAAGUUCGCAAUCGAUGCUCUGGAGGAAUUGGAGCACGAGUUCGAGUUCUUUACGAACAACCACAAUGUCACAGUGAAAAAUCACAGUCUGUGCGUUUACCGUGACUCGUCGUCAGGUCCGAGGCCAGAAUCCUAUAGAGAGGAUGUGGAAACCGGUGAAACAUUCUCUACUAAUGAGGCCAGGGAACUUCAUUACAGUGAGCUCAAGGCAGCAGCCGAGUCUGGAAUGGACUUUAGCUCCCGAUGGUUCAUCUCAGAGGAUGGCACCAACGAUGGAAAUCUGACCAACCUGAGUACCAGCCUAAUUGUGCCUGUUGACCUGAAUGCCUAUCUGUACUGGAACGCCAAGAUAAUUGCUGAGUUCCACUCAAAGGCUGGAAACACUAAGAAGGUGACCGAGUACGAGACUAAAGCUGAAAAGUUCCUACUGGGCAUCAAGGAAGUGCUGUGGAACGAGGAGGCCGGUGUCUGGCUCGACUACGAUAUGAAGAACGAGAAACCACGUGAUUACUUUGUGCCCACCAAUCUCUCCCCGCUGUGGGUGAAGGCCUUCAACAUUUCUGAGUCCGAAAAGAUCUCGGCUUCAGUUAUGGCCUACAUCGAAAAGCAUAAGCUGGACACAUUCCCUGGCGGAGUUCCCAACACAUUAAGCUACACCAAUGAGCAGUGGGAUGCGCCCAAUGUAUGGGCUCCGAUGCAGUACAUCCUGGUUGAGGGUUUGAACAACCUCAACACUCCCGAGGCCAAGAAUAUGUCCAAGAAGUGGGCCACCAGAUGGGUGAAGUCAAACUUCGCGGCCUUCAGUAAAGACAGGCAUAUGUACGAGAAGUACAACGCUGAUCAAUUCGGUGUCGGAGGCGGCGGUGGCGAGUACGAGGUGCAGACGGGAUUCGGAUGGUCCAACGGUGUGAUCAUCGAGUGGUUGAGCAAGCACGGGCGCGAUAUUUCAACCGGUGGAUCCGGUGGCGCAGCAGGUGAAGAGCCGCAGUAAAAUGAAUCUGUAGCCAGGCCAGAACACUAUUCAUCAGACAUCAUCGUCAGCAUCAUCACAGGCUCAAAGCCAAAGCUUUUUCGAAAUUGUAUUUAGAUAUUUGUACAUUAUAAGCAUCCAUACAGAAGCGCUCAUCAAACUGCUCAUCCUUAGGCUAAGCAAAUGCUCUAUCUCUCUCCGCAAUAUCUAUAACUAUAAAAGCCGCUGUCUAUAAACUAAAUCUGUACCGCGAACCAUCAAAUUCCCGAGCCAAGCACUACGAACCACAGCACCACAGUCACAGUUACAGCACCGCCAGGAAUCAGGAUACGAUGCCCGCAAUCCAUCUCAGUACUGUCUGUUGUCCAUGUAUUCCACGUUCACGUCCAGUCCACGUUUGCACAUUCGUGUGACUUGUCCAAAUUCAAGCAAAAAUCUUAAAGAACAUUAACUGUCUUAAAGUCGGCCGAGCAAUCAAGUUGCGGAUUCACGACUUCUCGUGUGAUGAGCAUUGUGAGCGUGGCAGCCGUGACCAUAGUAGCACUGAUAGCAGGCCGCGUUCUAUGGUGAGACACUAUGUGCCAAACAACCUGUAAUUGCUUCCCAAGUAAUGUGAUUCCCCGAGUGUGUGUGUGUGUGAUGUCUGUAGUUGUUUACGUUUUUCGUUGAAUGCGGAGAUUGCAGUAUUAGAUUAUUAUUUGGUAGUUGAAGUGAGAGUUGUACAUACUGAAUUUAUAUGGGCAUGCCCGACAUUGUUAUUACGUUUUAAUACCUAGCGAAUAUCUAUACCAAUCCUAGCUCCUCGCAACCAAAUGAAGACACAAAUACAAUUGUUAACAAUAAUUUACAAACUCUGCUUAGUAUUUUUAAAUAAACAACAACACAAACUAUAUGUUGCAUGAUGUGACAUUAAA